rnacentral:ncRNA from 1 species
UAUCAGAAUUAUGUUUGCAAUAACCCCGAUGAAAACGGUUGUCAACCUUUCGGGACACGAUUAUAAUGAAUGUUUAUGGAAUGAUAGUUUUAUAAGCAAGUCAACUUUGCAUUAUGGAAGUAUGCAAGAUAAGAGAAAAAUUCUCAAAUUUAGUCGUGGUGCUAAGAGUUAUCGCUUCAAAAGGUACGGAACUUAUCGCUGUGGCAAUAGACGCUCCUGUGGAGAAUAAGCCUUAUACUAACGAGUGGAAUCGCAAAGUCCCUAAGGUAAUCCAAAUUAACACAGUCUGUUUUGAUGCUUGAGAAAUCAGGCUAUAAGGUAAGUCGCUGGUAAAAGUAGCCAUAUGACAGUAUUGAAAACAAAUCUUUUCUUUGUAAUGUAUUAAAAAAAUUUCAAAUGCUGAAUGACUGGUGAAAUUUGUGUAUAACCAAUUACACACAAGCUUUGAGAAUAAUCUACGGUAAGAAACUAUGGGGUCGCUACCUAUAGUUCAGCCUUAUCGUCUUGGUGGCUGAAAAUUGAAGAAGAUAAUGGAGGUAAGGCGAAGGUCUUAUUGUAAACAUAAUUGUGA